CAGUCGCCACGGGAAUACGAAGGGGGCUAGCGUUGUUCGGAAUUACUGGGCGUAAAGCGCACGUAGGCGGAUCGAUCAGUCAGGGGUGAAAUCCCAGGGCUCAACCCUGGAACUGCCUUUGAUACUGUCGAUCUGGAGUAUGGAAGAGGUGAGUGGAAUUCCGAGUGUAGAGGUGAAAUUCGUAGAUAUUCGGAGGAACACCAGUGGCGAAGGCGGCUCACUGGUCCAUUACUGACGCUGAGGUGCGAAAGCGUGGGGAGCAAACAGGAUUAGAUACCCCGGUAGUCCCUGUCUCUUAUAC
rnacentral:rRNA from 1 species